AUGGUGCAGUGUCUCGACGGCGUGAAGCACCUCCUCGCGGUCCUCUUCAAGUGCUGCGACCUCGAGCUCAAGCAGCCGCGGGGGCUCGAGGACCCCCAGGUCCUCGCGCGGGAGACCGUCUUUAGCGUGAGCGAGGUCGAGGCGCUGUACGAACUCUUCAAGAAGAUAAGCAGCGCCGUGAUCGAUGACGGGCUGAUUAACAAGGAGGAGUUCCAAUUAGCGCUCUUCAAGACGAGCAAGAAGGAGAGCCUCUUCGCUGAUCGUGUAUUCGAUUUGUUCGACACAAAGCACAAUGGAAUUUUAGGGUUUGAAGAGUUUGCUCGUGCACUCUCAGUGUUUCACCCAAAUGCUUCAGUUGAAGAGAAAAUUGACUUUUCAUUCCAGCUAUAUGAUCUUAAGCAACAAGGCUUCAUUGAGAGACAGGAGGUUAAGCAGAUGGUUGUUGCCACACUUGCGGAGUCAGGAAUGAAUCUGUCUGAUGAAAUUAUAGAGAACAUAAUUGAUAAGACGUUUGAGGAGGCAGACACAAAGCAUGAUGGAAAAAUUGACAGGGAAGAGUGGCACAAUCUGGUUCUUCGACAUCCAUCUUUACUGAAGAACAUGACUCUCCAGUACCUCAAGGACAUCACCACAACAUUUCCAAGCUUCGUCUUCCAUUCUCAGGUUGACGAUACCUGA
rnacentral:rRNA from 1 species